AUUGAACGCUGGCGGCAUGCCUUACACAUGCAAGUCGAACGGCAGCAUAGGAGCUUGCUCCUGAUGGCGAGUGGCGAACGGGUGAGUAAUAUAUCGGAACGUGCCCUAGAGUGGGGGAUAACUAGUCGAAAGACUAGCUAAUACCGCAUACGAACUACGGAUGAAAGUGGGGGAUCGCAAGACCUCAUGCUCCUGGAGCGGCCGAUAUCUGAUUAGCUAGUUGGUGGGGUCAAAGCUCACCAAGGCGACGAUCAGUAGCUGGUCUGCGAGGACGACCAGCCACACGGGGACUGAGACACGGCCCAGAGUCCUACGGGAGGCAGCAGUGGGGAAUUUUGGACAAUGGGGGCAACCCUGAUCCAGCAAUGCCGCGUGAGUGAAGAAGGCCUUCGGGUUGUAAAGCUCUUUUGUCAGGGAAGAAACGGUUCUGGAUAAUACCUGGGACUAAUGACGGUACCUGAAGAAUAAGCACCGGCUAACUACGUGCCAGCAGCCGCCGUAA
rnacentral:rRNA from 1 species